GACAGAGGAUGCAAGCGUUAUCCGGAAUGAUUGGGCGUAAAGCGUCUGUAGGUGGCUUUUCAAGUCCGUCGUCAAAUCCCAGGGCGCAACCCUGGGCAAGCGGUGGAAACUACCAAGCUGGAGUACGGUAGGGGCAGAGGGAAUUUCCGGUGGAGCGGUGAAAUGCAUUGAGAUCGGAAAGAACACCAACAGCGAAAGCACUCUGCUGGGCCGACACUAACACUGAGAGACGAAAGCUAGGGGAGCAAAUGGG
rnacentral:rRNA from 1 species